CAAGGAAUCUUGGGCAAUGGGCGAAAGCCUGACCCAGCGACGCCGCGUGAGGGAUGAAGGCCUUCGGGUCGUAAACCUCUUUUGCGGGGGAAGAAGAUCUGACGGUACCCCGCGAAUAAGCCACGGCUAACUACGUGCCAGCAGCCGCGGUAAUACGUAGGUGGCAAGCGUUGUCCGGAUUUACUGGGCGUAAAGGGCUUGUAGGCGGUUUGUUAAGUCUGGUGUGAAAUCUCCCGGCUCAACCGGGAGGGGUCAUUGGAUACUGGCAGACUAGAGACGGGUAGAGGAAAGCAGAAUUCCCGGUGUAGCGGUGAAAUGCGUAGAUAUCGGGAGGAAUACCAGUGGCGAAGGCGGCUUUCUGGGCCUGUUCUGACGCUGAGGAGCGAAAGCGUGGGGAGCAAACCG
rnacentral:rRNA from 1 species